rnacentral:lncRNA from 1 species
GGGUUGGCUUCAGUAUUCUGCUGGGUGAGAUUGUAAACCCUACCCUGGAUAAAAGGUCUGCCCUGAUUCUGGUUCCUUAUGCACUCUCUCGCAUAAUGUCAGGCACUACCACAUAUGCGACAGGUGUUAUUGAGGUGGUAGCAGGGUCGGUCCCCAUGAUCCCUGCCAUAAUGCUGACAGAUCUUACUACGUCCUGCCAUUGGAGCCUGAGGGGGAGCCUGGAUCACCGGC